AUGGUUGAAAUCAUGCCUACAUCUAUUAACCACAACCAGACAGUGAUCUUUUCCUCUUGCUUCAGGAUCUAGUAUCUCAUGCUUUUGAAUUACAGUUUAGAGUCUUUUAAUCACAAAGUUGUUUGUGGUUUCCCAUCUCCUCUCUGAUAGAUAUCAGUUCCAUUACCAUAUAAUGAGAAGCUAGUUUUGCAGUUAGCUCUGUGCUAAAGCAGAUUAUAUUUUCUGGCUCAGCUUCUAUAUAGGUAACACUUUAUAAUUAAAAUAGCAGUGCUAGUACUGUGCUCUUGUUCUGCAUUGUAACAGGAGUCAUGGCUGCAUGUAGGCAUAUUAAACACCUGUUGUUACAUUAGGCUAUGCUGUCAUAGCAAGAUCUAAGCAGAUCCAGGCUCUUCCCUUUCCGUCUUCAUGCUGUAUCAGCCUCAGAUGUUUGUUUGAUCCACUUGUAAAACAAGCUCUGCACUGUCUGCCUUUCUAGAGUGUUGUGAGGCUUAAUUAAUGUUUUGGGAUCACUUCAGUGCACAAGCAGUAAAAAGAUCUGUCUAAUUGUUAUGCAAAUGUACUUGUGUUUUGUUUUGGGUAAACCUUUCUAUUGGUCAUAUGAGUAAUCUCUAGACAAGAUGCGGCUGACUUUGGGGAAAGUCUAAAAACCUCAGUUGCUUUUUUUCCUUGAGCUAUAUCUCUGUUAGAGGGGCAAAAGGCUUCAGAGUUGUUAGUGACUGUGGCUUGGCUUCAGGAGUGGCAGAUAUUAUGAUACACAAUCUUUCUACAAGCUGUGUUGUCAUUGCUGUUUCUAAGUGUGUCUCCAUCUUGCAAAACAAAGUCAGGCCCUCUUUUAAACUCUGUUACUUUUUUAUCUGUAAGCCAAGUGUACGUGAAAAUAUAACUCAGUGCCAGAUAAGUGAAGGAUGACAGCACUUAAUUCCACAUUUGCAGAUCAACUGGAUUUGUGUAACUGAGCAUCUCUUUGCACUUUAAACUAUGUCCUGUGAGUGCAUCAUAAGUGUCCUGCUGGCAGGGGAAGGAUCCCACCAUGAAUUCUGCUACUUCUGACUCAGUCACAAAACUGCAGGCCCAUCGGUGUUUGCUCAGCAGGAUCAUUGUGUUUUAUUCAUCAGAAAUGUUUCAGGGCUGUUUUUUAGACCAGGAAUGUUUCCAUGCCAUGAUGGAAAACAAGCCCUUUCCCUGCAUUGGGAAUGCAGCCCUCAUGCAGCAGUGUGGGACUCAGGGCUUUACACAGCUAACAGCUGGAUUAAUCAGAUUUACCCAAGACAUCCUAUUCCCAUAGCACUGAUAUUGUUUGUGUGAGUAAAUGUCCACUGCCACAACAAAGGAGUGCAGAGAUGAACGCUGAUGUUGUGUGGGAAGGCCUGAUGAGGAGUGACUCUCACCUCUGAAGUCUGCAGGACAGCCUGUCACUCCACAAUGAUUAUUCCAGCCCUGUAUUUGAAGCAACACUUCUCUAUUUCAGUAUGUGGUACUACUACUAGCAUGUGAGUUCUUCCAAGGUCUUUUGUCUGCUCUUCUAGAAGACAGGACUGAAAGCAGUAUGAGAGAUCACAACAAACAACUUUGAACCUAGGCUGGAGAGGACACCACUGCAUACCACAGACACCUAGUUGAUGACUUCACUGCUUAGGGCAGAAAAUUUAAGCCAAAUCCAUUUUUCUGCAAAAUGCUGAUUGUUUUACCACAACAGACUAAAGAACAGUUACUUUAAAGGGAAAACAGAUAAACCCUCUCUCUGAAGACUCCUGUCCGCACAAGCCUGAUGUGAAGAUGUAUGUGAAAGCACUGUGCCCAUUGUUAUUACAAGGGUAUGUAAUGAUAGAACAAGGGGUAAUGUCUUUAAACUGAAAGAGAGCAGGUUUAGAUUUGAUAUUAAGAAGGAAUUCUCUUCUGUGAGGGUGGUGAGACACUGGCAUAGGUUGCCCAGAAAAGUUGUCAUUGCCCUAUCCCUAGAAAUGUUCAAGGCCAGGCUGGAUGGGGCUUUGAGUAACCUGAGGGGUCAACCUGCCCAUGGUAGGCGGGUUGGAACUAGAUGGUCUUGAAGGUCUCUUCUAACCCAAACCAUUCUAUGACUCUAUGAUUCUUUGAUUCUGUGAUUUUGUGAUUUCAGUUUCCACUGCAUCCUGAUCAUGGGCUUACACUCUCAGCUCUAAAUCCCCAGUGUUUUAUUUGGUUGCAGAUAUUCACCCACCUUGUUAGCAGAUGUGUCUUGCAGGUAAGGGAAGUACUACGUGUAUUUGCAUCCAUGCACAGUCCGAUCUAAGCAUAGAGCAACCUGUGAGCACUUUUUACAACCAGUGCAAGCAAGUGCAGAAGCUGUCUAUUUGCUCCUAAUCCUGCUAGCACAUAGGUGAGAAGGAGAUUUGAAGUUCGCUGAGAAGGGGCAGAUAAUAUGAGUAGCAGACCAGCCACACUGGGGACAGUAAUUCAGCUGUAACAGCCUAACAGAGCAGAGAAGUAAUGGUUUGGUAAGACUUGUAGAACAGCAGCCUAAAAGAAAAACUUCUACUCAACAUUAACACACCAGAUUUUAGUUUCAAACUGCAAGACAUGACUUAGGAGAAGCAGGCAUGUGGCUAACUAGUCAUUGCCUAUAGCAGUUCAAGGCUCAUAAGUCAGACAUAGCUAUUAAAAUGCAAUGUUUACCUUUUUUUUAAAAAAAGGGGUUUCUAGGGAGAUUAAUUUUCACUUCAACCUGACAAUCAUUUCAUAAACUUGCCAGUGUGAUAUAAGACAAACUGGAUCUGUUCUUCUCUGGAUUAUACAUUCGAUUUAUCUGCAGAUUUUCCACCUCACAGUUUAAACCAGUUUUUAUUGUUUUAGCAAAGAGGAUUUAACAACAAGGUUUAAUAUAAAUGCUGCUGGUGCCUGUGCAGAACUGAGAUUUUCUGCUAUGAAUGUACAUUUUUCAGGGAUAUAUAUAAUAUAGCUGAUGACUCAACUGUGAAUGGUGAUUUGGGAUUUGCAUCAUCUCUGCUGCUGGUGUAUUUCAUUAAAGCCACUAUGGUGAUGCACUGGUGAGAUGCGUGGAGCUGAGAUGAGACUCUUCAUUCCCAUAAAGAGUCUGAUAUUUUAGUGCCCGUGCUAAGCUUAGUAAAUCCUGUAAACUCUGGAAUUUCCUUUGUAGAUACAGUAGAUUAAUUAGACAGUAUCUUUUAAGGUUAAAUCCUGAAUCCUCUGCUGGACUGACAUGUAUAAUAAAUGCUCUUACACACUGGUUUUGAGCAACAAAUGCUUCUCCUUAAAGGGCUGGAUGAGUAUUUGUGAAGGUUUACUAUCCUGCUAGUUAUAUCACCCAUGUUGUAAGAAGGAUGGGAUCCAUUUUGGUACCAAGGAAUGCUGUGCACUUCCUCUGAUGUAUGAAUAUCUCCAGUCUUGCAGUAGAUCUCAAGGUUUGCUGUGCCUGAAGUGUUAUAUUCUCUAGAAGGAUCCUAUUUGUAAGAGAGAGAUGCUGGAUCUGUACUAAGGGCAGUAGAUCUGUCCCAUUAUUUCAUGGGCACAGAAAGAAAGCUGGAAAAAACCACUCAUCCCAAUUGUAGAUGACUUCUUAACAGAGCACUUGGAUAAGAGGGAAACCUAGUCCUAAUGCUUCAGGUAAACUGCUGUCAACUAAAGAGCAAACCAAGGAGGGCAGGAGAAUGCUAACAAUGAACGGGAUAAAAUAUUUUGAACCUGGGAACCAAGGGGAAGGAGAAGAUAUUCUUCUUGGCUUCUCAAUUUUAGAAAUUAAAAGCAAACCCCAUUUUCUAGAUGUACAUACAGUCUCUCCCUGGGGGUUGAGAGCUAAUAUAUGCAAAAGCCUUGCAUUUCCAUGCACAACUCAGUGCUAAAGCCCAGAAGAAAACUAGAAUACUUUAGCAAACAACUUGGAAAUAAGCAAUUUGUUUGAAAUAAAUCCUUUACUCUUUCAAGUUAACCCAUUUAAAAAAAAAUCUACUUCUCUUCUGCAGCUUUGGGAUUGGGAAUAGCUUUACGUGUUAACUCCUUUUCACCAAAAUACUUGAGUGUAGAGUUCUCCGUGUCAGCUGGAGCUUGAGAGCUCAUUGUUUAUAAAGGGAAAGAAGUAUUGUGCUACUAAGCAAGCAACUCCCAACACAUAUGUUCAGCUCUUCAUCUUCGAGAAGGAGACACUGAGGCUGCUGCGAGUGCAGAAGGACAGAGCUUUCACUGAGCUUCAGAUGUGACUGAGACCCUCUUCCAGGAUUUAUACGUUGAUGAAGCUCUGGGCUUAUUAACUAGCUUUUUCUGAAACAAGUAGCCUUAGCCCAUAUGUGCCAGGUUGUGAAACCCUUAAUCCCACUGAGUUUUUCUCUCCCUGUUUUCCUUCUGAUCAUUUGCAAGAACAAAUUUGAUGAAGCACAGUUGGUAAGAAAUAGUUCUAUUGGUCUGUGAUAGUUGAGUAGAAAAGUCAUAAUUGUGACAUCUUCCCUCAAACUUAUGUCCAAAAAAUAUAUUUUGAGUAGCCCAGCUGUAUUAGUUCCAUGAUGUGUAUAAGGGUUUGGUGUUUUUCAUGUUCUGUGAUUUUACAUUACUUAUGUAAAACUAAUUUCAUUUCAGAACCAAACAAACCAAACCAACCAACCAACGAAAAAAAAAUCACAAAAAACCCCAAACAGAAACAAACAAACAAAAAAAACCAAAACAAAACAAAAAAACCCCACAGUGCUCAGUGUCCCCAGAUUUACUUGGGAAAUGUUAGCAUGUCCAAAACAUGUCUGUUUUAAAAGAAUUCUUCCAAGAUGCUUAGAAUAAGGGCGGAAACCAUCUGGAAAAAACUUUCUAACAACAAGGCGUUUUUUGAGUUGGUGGUUUUUUUUCUUUCCAACCUUCAUAAGAGAAAAAAUACAGUUCAAAUUAAGCAAUAGUACCAGAGUCUGAGCUUCAACAAUUCAAUAUCUUCCUUUUAAAGCAAGGCAUUUCUCUUGGAUCAUGCCUGGGUUCAGAUGAUGUCUACGCUGUCAUCUGAACCUUCAAGGCAAUGUCUGGGGCAGGUCUAGCCUUGGGUUGCUGUCAGAAAGAAGACAUGAUCUAUUUUUCUCUCACUUUCGGUAAUUAUUUGUCACUCAACAGCCAUGUGAGAGUUUGAUGUGGUAAAUGGCCGAGAACUGGAGCCACUGGUAUGAGCGAAAAGACCUUAGCCUGUUAUCCUGCUAGUCAAAGUAAUCAAAAUCCAGUCACAGGAAGGAAGAUUAAACGCUUGCCAUCCUUAAAAUUUGAAAAAAGCAAGAAACUAAGGUCAACUCUCCAAUUUUUUUUUUUUGAAGAAAUGAACCUUGAAAGUAGUUAUUUCCAGUUAACAUGUAUAAUGUGAUAGAAAAAAUUAAUGUCCUCUCUUUUCUGUAGAUGCAGGUCUUGACUUUUUCACUUUUGACCUCAUUCUUCCCUCACUCUUCCCUGUCCCAAAAGAAAGAGAUCAGAAAUUUUUUUCUGAAUUUCCGACUCUAUGUAUAAUUAUAUAUAUUUUUUCCACUAGAGCUGAAAUAAAAAUAAUUUAUUAAAAAGGUGAUAUUUACUUUUUAUAUCUCUGUACAAUAUGCAAGAUAACCAUUUUGGAAAGUAUUAGCAUAAAUGUCCACAAUUUUGAGUACUCAAUGUUCUUUUCAGAGAUGCCUGUUUAUAUUAAUGUAAUUUCAAUCUGUUCUUACGUUUUUAUAGAUCAGUAUGUGAUACAAUUCUUUGAAGAGAAAUGUCUGCUUAGUUUCCAAGUGGAACAGAAAGCAAGAUUUGGUACUAAACUUCCACUUUUAAUUUUUUCAUCUAGGCUUGACUUUAAGAAAAAGAAUAGUGCUUAGUGGGUUCGUGUCUAUAACAAGUCAUACUCUUGUCUUAUGAAACAGCCUAUUUUGUAGCUUCAGCUUGCUGCCCCCCAGCACAACAGAGGAACUGUGUUUCACUGACUGGAAGGACUUAAAAUUGUUCACUGUUGUACCUGCGUGCCUCAUAAACCUUCAAAGAGUAAGCAAUAAGAUUUUUGACUCUGUUAGUUCCAAUAAAAUGAGGCAAAGAUUUUACCAGUUAUGUGUAUAAUAAGGCAGAGCUAGAAAAUUGAUCAUAAAAAAGGUUUGAGUUUUCAUUUUUCUAUUUUCCUGUGUUCUUCCUCUCUUUUUCGUGAGUCACGUGCAGAACUCUUUUCCCACAGUGUCCCUUCCUUAAUUAUACAGUGUUGUGAGAGUAUGUGCAAUACAUUGACUAAAAAAGGGCUCAGUCAGGGUAAAACUACAAACUUUAUCCCAUAUUCUUAGGGAGUUCCCCUACAAACCAGUGACUCAGCCUAAGAUUUGCAGAGUAAUAUGAAGAAUUCAGGUUCAUUGAGGUUUUGAUGCCCAACUGCGUUGUUUCUUUCCAAAAUCCCAUCUUCUUUUUUCCUACUGAUAAAACGGGGACAGUCACACCUGAAAAGAGUUUUACAAAUUUGCCUGGCAAAUAGUCCUUCAAGUUUGCUUAGUUAAAAUGCAAAAUCCUGGUUGCAGUGUGAAAAGGAUCCUAGUUCCCAAAAUACUCAACUGAAUUAGCCAUUUUAUCUUAAGCGAUACUGACAACUAAACUAUUUGGCUGCUGAGUUCUGUUGCUGUUCAGAUGUGAUUUUUACAUUCUGUUAUAUUAGCAGAACAUUUUAAUGUGAUUUUAUGUCUCAUUGUAUUUGAGAAAGCACCAUACAUUUGUACAUUAUGUAAAUGGCACUGUACUCUCAAGGUAUUUACUUUACAGGAAGCUUCAUGACUUUGGAAUAAACAACCAUUCCAAGACUGAGCAAAA